GGACGAUUAGCUCAGCUGGUUAGAGCAUCUCGUUUACACCGAGAGGGUCAUAGGUUCGAAUCCUAUAUCGUCCA
rnacentral:tRNA from 1 species